UACGGAGGGUGCAAGCGUUAUCCGGAUUCACUGGGUUUAAAGGGUGCGUAGGUGGGUUGAUAAGUCAGUGGUGAAAUCCCCGAGCUUAACUUGGGAACUGCCAUUGAUACUAUUGAUCUUGAAUACCGUGGAGGUCAGCGGAAUAUGUCAUGUAGCGGUGAAAUGCUUAGAUAUGACAUAGAACACCAAUUGCGAAGGCAGCUGGCUACGCGAAUAUUGACACUGAUGCACGAAAGCGUGGGGAGCAAACAGG
rnacentral:rRNA from 1 species